rfam:Capsicum annuum cultivar Zunla-1 chromosome 9, whole genome shotgun sequence
AUCUGAUGAUUUGGGCACCGCAUAAGCUUAUUCUUGAACCUCUCCCAAGUUUCGUGGAGAGCUUCAUUUGGAAGCUGUCUGAAAUUGCUUAUCUCAUCUCUCAAUUU